rnacentral:rRNA from 1 species
UCAAGCUACAAAGAGCACAAGGGGAAUGCCUUGGCACCGAGAGCCGAAGAAGGACGUGACUAACUGCGAUAAGCUACGGGGAGCUGUAAGUGAGCGUUAUAUCCGUAGAUUUCCGAAUGGAGCAAUCCGAUUAGAGGAAAGUCUAAUCAUCAUAUACUGAAUACAUAGGUAUAUGAGGGGAACCGCCUGAACUGAAACAUCUAAGUAGGGCGAGGAAGAGAAAUCAACAGAGAUUCCGUAAGUAGUGGCGAGCGAACGCGGAAGAGGCCAAACCUAAUGUAGUAAUAUGUUAGGGGUUCGGACAGUAGAAUGAAUUGUCGAGAUUUAGCCGAAUGUCAUGGGAAGGGCAAUCAAAGAAGGUGAAAAUCCUGUAGGCGAAAAGUUAAGACAUCAGACUGUAUCCAGAGUACCGCCGGACACGUGAAACCCGGUGGGAAUACGGGGGGACCAUCCUCCAAGCCUAAAUACUACUCGGUGACCGAUAGAGAAGAAGUACUGUGAAGGAAAGGUGAAAAGCACCCCGGAAGGGGAGUGAAAGAGAACCUGAAACCUUGUGUUUACAAGCACCGAAAGUUCAUCAACGAACGAUCGGGUACCUUUUGUAGAAUGGUCCGGCGAGUGAAUGUAACUGGCAAGGUUAAGCACUUAAGGUGUGAAGCCGUAGCGAGAGCGAGUCUGAAAAGGGCGCAUGAAGUCAGUUGUAUUCGACCCGAAACCGGGUGACCUACCCAUGUCCAGGCUGAAGUGCAGGUAAAACUUCAUGGAGGGCCGAACCGACUCCCGUUGAAAUGGUAGCGGAUGAGGUGUGGGUAGCGGAGAAAUUCCAAUCGAACCCGGAGAUAGCUGGUUCUCUCCGAAAUAGCUUUAGGGCUAGCCUUGGAAUAGAUUACUGGAGGUAAAGCACUGAAUUGGCUAGGGGCCGAGAGGUUACUGAACCUUAUCAAACUAAGAAUGCCAGAUAAUCGUUUUCCAGGAGUCAGACAGUGGGAGAUAAGUUUCAUUGUCAAAAGGGAAACAGCCCAGACCUACAGCUAAGGUCCCAAAGUAUAGUUAAGUGGAAAAGGAUGUGGAAUUGCAUAGACAACCAGGAUGUUGGCUUAGAAGCAGCCACUCAUUAAAAGAGUGCGUAAUAGCUCACUGGUCGAGUGAUUCUGCGCCGAAAAUUUAACGGGGCUAAACUAUACACCGAAGCUUAGGAUACCGCAAGGUAUGGUAGGAGAGCGUUCUGUACGGAGUGAAGUCGUAGCGAAAGCGGCGGUGGACUGUACAGAAGUGAGAAUGCCGGAAUAAGUAGCGAGAAUUAAGUGAGAAUCUUAAUGGCCGAAAGUCUAAGGUUUUUGGAGGAAGGUUCGUCCGCUCCAAGUAAGUCGGGAGCUAAGGUCAGGCCGAAAGGCGUAGCCGAUGCACAAACGGUUGAUAUUCCGUUACCGUCUACAAUUUAAACAAAGGGACACAUACAAAGCGUUUAACCCGGGCGAUGGUUGACCCGGGCGCAAGGGACUGAAAUAAGAGUAGGGAAGUAAAUGUGGCGUAUGGCGAGAAAAGCUUUGUGAAUAGAAGUAGACGCCCGUACCGCAAACCGACACAGGUGGACAGGAAGAGAAUUCUAAGGCCAGCGGGAGAAGGGUAGUUAAGGAACUCGGCAAAUUGACUCCGUAACUUCGGAAUAAGGAGUGCUCGAAAGAGCCGCAGAGAAUAGGCCCAGGCGACUGUUUAGCAAAAACACAGGUCUCUGCCAAAUCGAAAGAUGAAGUAUAGGGGCUGACACCUGCCCGGUGCCGGAAGGUUAAGAGGAGGAGUGCAAGCUCCGAAUUGAAGCCCCGGUAAACGGCGGCCGUAACUAUAACGGUCCUAAGGUAGCGAAAUUCCUUGUCGGGU